GUUUUUUGUUUCUUUU
rnacentral:sRNA from 1 species